CUGGACUGACCGACCAAUCACAAGGCUCCAACGCGACAAUGCACUGCGCCGCGUUGGCCCCCUGCCAGGAACCUCGCUGGGUGAGAGCAUUACGUCACCGCCCCCUCGGAUUGGUUCAAAAGAGCUGAGCAAAUUAGGAGGCCGGCCAAUGGGCCCUGGGGUGUCUUCUGACGUCAUAUUCAGGUCCUGAUUGGUGAAAUAGUGUUGUUUGACACGCAACGACCCAAACGGCGUUCCAUAGAAAUCCCUGGUUGAGAAUGAAACAACUGAACAACGAAACAGCACAGCAAGUGAAUAUCAUCACUCCCCAGUCAGUCA
ensembl:lncRNA